UACGAAGGGGGCUAGCGUUGUUCGGAAUCACUGGGCGUAAAGGGCGCGUAGGCGGCUUUGUAAGUCGGGGGUGAAAGCCUGUGGCUCAACCACAGAAUUGCCUUCGAUACUGCAUGGCUUGAGACCGGAAGAGGUAAGUGGAACUGCGAGUGUAGAGGUGAAAUUCGUAGAUAUUCGCAAGAACACCAGUGGCGAAGGCGGCUUACUGGGUCCGGUUCUGACGCUGAGGCGCGAAAGCGUGGGGGAGCAAACAGG
rnacentral:rRNA from 1 species